rnacentral:rRNA from 1 species
UACGAAGGGGGCUAGCGUUGCUCGGAAUCACUGGGCGUAAAGCGCACGUAGGCGGCUUUCUAAGUCAGGGGUGAAAUCCUGGAGCUCAACUCCAGAACUGCCUUUGAUACUGGAGAGCUUGAGUCCGGAAGAGGUGAGUGGAACUCCGAGUGUAGAGGUGAAAUUCGUAGAUAUUCGGAAGAACACCAGUGGCGAAGGCGACUUACUGGACGACUGUUGACGCUGAGGUGCGAAAGCGUGGGGAGCAAACAGG